rnacentral:snoRNA from 2 species
GUUCUGUAGGGACCAUUUCAGGAUCAAAUUCACAUGUCAGACUUCCGAGCUUUUCAGAUUAAUAUGAAUGAAAAUUCUGGUACUUAGCAGAAU